rnacentral:rRNA from 1 species
UACGAAGGGGGCUAGCGUUGCUCGGAAUGACUGGGCGUAAAGGGCGCGUAGGCGGCUUGCACAGUCAGGCGUGAAAUUCCUGGGCUCAACCUGGGGACUGCGCUUGAGACGUGUGGGCUUGAGUGGGGAAGAGGGUCGUGGAAUUCCCAGUGUAGAGGUGAAAUUCGUAGAUAUUGGGAAGAACACCGGUGGCGAAGGCGGCGACCUGGUCCUUGACUGACGCUGAGGAGCGAAAGUGUGGGGAGGCGAACAGG